rnacentral:rRNA from 1 species
AUGCCGCGUGCAGGAAGAAGGCCUUCGGGUUGUAAACUGCUUUUGUCAGGGAAGAAAUCCUCUGGGUUAAUACCUCGGGGGGAUGACGGUACCUGAAGAAUAAGCACCGGCUAACUACGUGCCAGCAGCCGCGGUAAUACGUAGGGUGCGAGCGUUAAUCGGAAUUACUGGGCGUAAAGCGUGCGCAGGCGGCUUUGCAAGACAGAUGUGAAAUCCCCGGGCUCAACCUGGGAACUGCAUUUGUGACUGCAAGGCUAGAGUACGGUAGAGGGGGAUGGAAUUCCGCGUGUAGCAGUGAAAUGCGUAGAUAUGCGGAGGAACACCAAUGGCGAAGGCAAUCCCCUGGACCUGUACUGACGCUCAUGCACGAAAGCGUGGGGAGCAAACAGGAUUAGAUACCCUGGUAGUCCACGCCCUAAACGAUGUCAACUGGUUGUUGGACGGCUUGCUGUUCAGUAACGAAGCUAACGCGUGAAGU